rnacentral:lncRNA from 1 species
AAAUACAAGGGUAAGAAGAGGAAUCAUGUGGAAGAAGAGUAAACAUCUGAUGGUGUCCUGGGUAGCUGAAACUGUGGAAAGCAAAACCGUGGAUAAGGGGGAACUACUAUACUGAAAAUGUACAAAACAGAGAAGAUUUCAUUGAAGAAGUCUGCUGUUUCUGGAAUGGGAAAUUAAGCACAACUGGAACAGUUAUCGACUGUGAUUCUUGCUGGGACCAAUAACCUUCUACAAAUACCAACAUCAGUUUUUAUGAAAGGCAAAGAGCUGACAGGUUUACAGACUGCACCCUAACAUUAAGCUACCAGGAGAAACUUCCAAGUUACCCUCUUGUUACUUGUGCCCCAGAGGUGAACACUAUAAACUGCUACAGCAUGCAAUUUAGGGCCACAUUUGGAGCCUCAUCUCUUUGUCAUGACCAACAAAUUUAAAUCCUCAUCAACUGGAAAGAGGAAACUUCAUCUGGAUAAAUACUAUAUUCAUAACUAGGAGAGGUUCGUGAAGAAGUGAUUGGGAAAGAGAGCAAGUCUUGGUUGGACAGUGUGAUUCAAUAGAAAUGUGAGGAGGAAAACUGCAAUUAUUUCUGAACCUUCCCAUCAGCCUUGUCUCUGAUAGAAUUGGCCUGUUGUGGACGGGCUUUGUGUAGAUUAGAGAAAGAAGAAGAUGCUCUUUUGGUGUAAUUGUUCAGUUCCACAUGGCCGGGGAGGCCUCACGAUCAUGGCAGAAGGCAAGGAGGAGCAAGUCACAUCUUAUGUGGAUGGCAGCAGGCAAAGAGAGAGCGAGCUUGUGCAAGGAGACUCCCAUUUUUAAAACCAUCAGAUCUCGUGAGACUUAUUCACUAUCAGGAGAACAGCAAGCUAAAUCAGUGUGAGACCAAGGACCCUGGGGCUCCUCCAGUCAUUGCAGCUGUAUCACAACUACCCUGACAGAUUUCUUGCUCAGGGCAAGCCACCUGCCAUGUCUUGAGAACACUCAAGCAGCACAUGGCGAGGAAUGGAGAUGGACAGACAUGGGCCAGCAAGAAACAGGCUUGCCAACAACAGCUUGCGUGAUCCUGAAAGCCCCGUUGACUGGAGGAUGGCCAUUUGACAACACAUUAUUUCCUGAGGAAACUUUUGACUUCUGGUGACUUGGGCCCCAGGCUGGCUGAAUUUGCCAAGACCCGGCUUUGCCCUUGCAUGUGUGAAAAAUGGCCUCAAGUAUGACCCCAUGGCAAGAUGGAAAGAAACUGUGCUCUUGAAUAGCUUAGAGAUUCAGAGCCCCCCAACCAGCUUGAAACGCCCACCUCAAAACAAUGACAUGAGAAGAAACAAA